rnacentral:rRNA from 1 species
CCUACGGGAGGCAGCAGUGGGGCAUAUUGGGCAAUGGAGGCAACUCUGACCCAGCAAUGCCGCGUGAGUGAUGCAGGUAAUUUUAUUGUAAAGCUCUUUUCUUUGGAACGAAUAAAUGACGUUACCAACGGAAUAAGCCCCGGCUAACUACGUGCCAGCAGCCGCGGUAAUACGUAGGGGGCAAGCGUUGUUCGGGAUGACUGGGCGUAAAGGGUGUGUAGGUGGUUUGAUAAGUUAGUUGUGUAAUACCCAGGGCUUAACUCGGGUGCUGCAUCUAAAACUGUUAGAUGUGAGGACUGGAGAGGAUAGUGGAAUUCCUAGUGGAGCGGUGGAAUGCGUAGAUAUUAGGAGGAACAUCAGGGGCGAAGGCGACUAUCGGGACAGCAACUGACACUGAGGCACGAAAGCGUGGGGAGCAAACAGGAUUAGAUACCCCAGUAGUC